GUCGAGAGGCAGCGGGUGGAGAAAGUGAUGAUGAUGAGGAGAAAAAGGAGGAAAAGAGACCUGCACUGGAGAUUGCUUCCAUGGUUCAAGUAUGAUGUUGGAGAAGUCAGGGAUCUGGCCAGACAGCUGUCCUUAUACAAUAGAGUACAUCAGUUUUUGCAGGAGUGGAACAAGGAACACUUCCUCAGUUUCGUCCAGUGUCAGAAGUCUGUCAACGAUGCCCGGAAUUUAGAGCAGUCUGUUUCCAUGGUGAAGUCACGUAUUGAGUAGAAACUCCACAAACUCUUCUCACAGAAAUCUACAGACCUGAAACUGGCCAGUAUCCUGAACAUAGCUGUAAUGGACCUGUCUAUACACCAGACCUUUCCUGUCCAUAUCAGACCUACUUUGUGUAACAGUGUUCUGUGUUAGAGUGCCUCAACUUUAAAAUAUUCCAGAGUGUAUUCUGUCCAAAUACAGGAUGAUAUACAAUGUAGGGGACAUUCUACACAGGAUAAAAAGGGAAGCGAAUCUAGCUGAUGGAACAACAGAAGAUGAUGUGGUCACCUAUAUCUCAGAUUUAUGUGAUCGAGCACAUAAGAAAGACAGUCAACAGCUCCGACAGACGUUACCACGGUUAAAGGAGAAGAUUUUCCGCACCAAGCAGGCCCUAGACAACUGUACACAUGCCAGGCCGGCAGCGGACGACUGGUGGUUGGAGCUCAGCCAGAACGGUGUCUCUUGGGUGACUGUAGAUGACCACACCUUACAGCAGUACAUGGACAGAUGGACAGUCCUAGUGACCAUCUUUAAGACAACAGCUUCUACACAACCAGUGAGGGAGACCAACUUUCAUCUGUGAUUGCACAUAGACAAUUAAAAAUGUACCUUUAAUUGCUCUGACAGAAAUGAAGGCAGGUGUGCUGUGGACAAGUUAUAAACUAAGGAAAACUGAGUUUUGCCUCAUUAAGCUUAAAGAGGCUUAAUUUCAGAGCCCUACUAGAUGAGCAGAUCAUUCUUUAUCGGAAAACCUCACAUAUGCAAUCAUCAAAGUAAACCUCUUAAACAGUGCUUUAAAUAAACUAAAUUAGUGUUAAUGCAGACAUCAAGCAGCCUUGAAGGGUGUGGUCAAAUGCUAACAUAUAUAUAUAUACAUGUAUACAUAAUUGAAUACAUGUCUGUUACUUUAAUAUAUAAAAUUAUGCAAAAUGUAAAAAUAAGUGACAGAUGAAAAGUUAAAGGACCUAAUUGCGUAAACCAUAAUUACAUACUUGAUCCUAGCACUGAAACAGAUUAAA